UUGGUAGGGUAACGGCCUACCAAGGCUCGGAUGCGUAGCCGACCUGAGAGGGUGAUCGGCCACAAUGGGACUGAGACACGGCCCAUACUCCUACGGGAGGCAGCAGUAGGGAGUUUUCGGCAAUGGGGGAAACCCUGACCGAGCAACGCCGCGUGAACGAUGAAGGUCUUCGGAUCGUAAAGUUCUGUUGUAGUUAGGGAAAGUGCGGGAGAGUGGAAAGCUCUCGUUUUGACCCGACUACCAGAAAGCCACGGCUAACUACGUGCCAGCAGCCGCGGUAAUACGUAGGUGGCAAGCGUUAUCCGGAAUUAUUGGGCGUAAAGAGUGAGCAGGCGGCCGUUUAAGUCUGAAGUCAAAUGCAGUGGCUUAACCACUGUCCGCUUUGGAAACUGGAUGGCUAGAGUACGAGAGAAGUAAGCGGAAUUCCAUGUGUAGCGGUGAAAUGCGUAGAUAUAUGGAGGAACACCAGAGGCGAAGGCGGCUUACUAGAUCGAUACUGACGCUCAGUCACGAAAGCGUGGGUAGCAAAUAGGAUUAGAUACCCUAGUAGUCCACGCCGUAAACGAUGAGAACUAGGUGUAGGGCCAAACCCUGCGCCGAAGCUAACGC
rnacentral:rRNA from 1 species